rnacentral:rRNA from 1 species
AUUGAACGCUGGCGGCAGGCUUAACACAUGCAAGUCGAGCGGGGGAAGGUAGCUUGCUACCGGACCUAGCGGCGGACGGGUGAGUAAUGCUUAGGAAUCUGCCUAUUAGUGGGGGACAACAUCUCGAAAGGGAUGCUAAUACCGCAUACGUCCUACGGGAGAAAGCAGGGGAUCUUCGGACCUUGCGCUAAUAGAUGAGCCUAAGUCGGAUUAGCUAGUUGGUGGGGUAAAGGCCUACCAAGGCGACGAUCUGUAGCGGGUCUGAGAGGAUGAUCCGCCACACUGGGACUGAGACACGGCCCAGACUCCUACGGGAGGCAGCAGUGGGGAAUAUUGGACAAUGGGGGGAACCCUGAUCCAGCCAUGCCGCGUGUGUGAAGAAGGCCUUAUGGUUGUAAAGCACUUUAAGCGAGGAGGAGGCUACUUUAGUUAAUACCUAGAGAUAGUGGACGUUACUCGCAGAAUAAGCACCGGCUAACUCUGUGCCAGCAGCCGCGGUAAUACAGAGGGUGCGAGCGUUAAUCGGAUUUACUGGGCGUAAAGCGUGCGUAGGCGGCUUAUUAAGUCGGAUGUGAAAUCCCCGAGCUUAACUUGGGAAUUGCAUUCGAUACUGGUGAGCUAGAGUAUGGGAGAGGAUGGUAGAAUUCCAGGUGUAGCGGUGAAAUGCGUAGAGAUCUGGAGGAAUACCGAUGGCGAACGCAGCCAUCUGGCCUAAUACUGACGCUGAGUACGAAAGCAUGGGGAGCAA